rnacentral:rRNA from 1 species
AUACGUAGGGGGCGAGCGUUGUCCGGAAUGAUUGGGCGUAAAGGGCGCGUAGGCGGCCCGGUAAGUCUGGAGUGAAAGUCCUGUUUUUAAGAUGGGAAUUGCUUUGGAUACUGUCGGGCUUGAGUGCAGGAGAGGUAAGUGGAAUUCCCAGUGUAGCGGUGAAAUGCGUAGAGAUUGGGAGGAACACCAGUGGCGAAGGCGACUUACUGGACUGUAACUGACGCUGAGGCGCGAAAGUGUGGGGAGCAAACAGGAUUAGAUACCCUGGUAGUCCACACUGUAAACGAUGAAUGCUAGGUGUAGGGGGUAUCGACCCCUUCUGUGCCGCAGUCAACACAAUAAGCAUUCCACCUGGGGAGUACGGCCGCAAGGUUGAAACUCAAAUGAAUUGACGGGG